rnacentral:rRNA from 1 species
AGAGUUUGAUCCUGGCUCAGAUUGAACGCUGGCGGUAUGCUUAACACAUGCAAGUCGAACGGAAACGAUACUAGCUUGCUAGUAGGCGUCGAGUGGCGGACGGGUGAGUAACGCGUAGGAAUCUGCCUGAUAGUGGGGGAUAGCCCGAAGAAAUUCGGAUUAAUACCGCAUAAUCUAUUCGUAGUAAAGUGGGGGACUUUCGAGCCUCACGCUAUCAGAUGAGCCUGCGUAAGAUUAGCUAGUUGGUAGGGUAAAAGCCUACCAAGGCUACGAUCUUUAGCUGGUCUGAGAGGAUGAUCAGCCACAUCGGGACUGAGACACGGCCCGAACUCCUACGGGAGGCAGCAGUGGGGAAUAUUGGACAAUGGGGGCAACCCUGAUCCAGCAAUACCGCGUGUGUGAAGAAGGCCUGAGGGUUGUAAAGCACUUUCAAUUGUGAAGAAAAGUUAACGGUUAAUAACCGUUAGCCUUGACGUUAACUUUAGAAGAAGCACCGGCUAACUCCGUGCCAGCAGCCGCGGUAAUACGGAGGGUGCAAGCGUUAAUCGGAAUUACUGGGCGUAAAGCGUGCGUAGGCGGUUUAUUAAGUCAGAUGUGAAAGCCCCGGGCUUAACCUGGGAACUGCAUUUGAAACUGGUCAACUAGAGUAUGGUAGAGGAAAGUGGAAUUUCUGGUGUAGCGGUGAAAUGCGUAGAUAUCAGAAGGAACAUCAAUGGCGAAGGCAGCUUUCUGGACCAAUACUGACGCUGAGGUACGAAAGCGUGGGUAGCAAACAGGAUUAGAUACCCUGGUAGUCCACGCCGUAAACGAUGAUAACUAGCCGUUGGGGGGAUUUACCCCUUAGUGGCGAAGCUAACGCGUUAAGUUAUCCGCCUGGGGAGUACGGCCGCAAGGCUAAAACUCAAAGGAAUUGACGGGGACCCGCACAAGCGGUGGAGCAUGUGGUUUAAUUCGAUGCAACGCGAAGAACCUUACCUGGUCUUGACAUCCUGCGAACUUUCUAGAAAUAGAUUGGUGCCUUCGGGAACGCAGUGACAGGUGCUGCAUGGCUGUCGUCAGCUCGUGUCGUGAGAUGUUGGGUUAAGUCCCGUAACGAGCGCAACCCCUAUCCUUAUUUGCCAGCACAUUAUGGUGGGAACUAUAAGGAGACUGCCGGUGAUAAACCGGAGGAAGGCGGGGACGACGUCAAGUCAUCAUGGCCCUUACGACCAGGGCUACACACGUGCUACAAUGGGAAGGACAAAGAGCCGCGAAGCCGCGAGGUGUAGCUAAUCUCAUAAAUCUUUUCGUAGUCCGGAUUGGAGUCUGCAACUCGACUCCAUGAAGUCGGAAUCGCUAGUAAUCGUAGAUCAGAAUGCUACGGUGAAUACGUUCCCGGGUCUUGUACACACCGCCCGUCAUACCAUGGGAGUGGGUUGCACCAGAAGUGGCUAGUCUAACUUUGUGAGGACGGUCACCACGGUGUGAUUCAUGACUGGGGUAAAGUCGUAACAAGGUAACC